rnacentral:lncRNA from 1 species
ACCAUUGAGAAAUGAAUCGGUAAUUUGAUUUUUCUCAUCUAGUCGGUUGUACAUCCAAUUUCGAUCAUUGCCGGCCAUUCUAUAAAAUAAUUGAAACAUGCAAAAAUGAGUUGCAUGUCCGCAUGAGUUUCAUGAAAAAUAUAUCAUGAAAAAUAAAAAAAUAAAUUAUAAAAAGAAAGGCUCAGCUCGGCUCGGGCUCAGCUAGGGCUUUGCAGGCUCAGCUUGGCUCGGCUCAGCUAGGGCUUGUCAGGCUCGGCUCAGCUCGGAAAAUCAUCUAAACACUACGAUUAAAUUUUUACAGACUGAUAAUGGGGGCCGGGGGCAUAUGUUAGUAAUGAGUUUAAAUAAUUCUAAGGAGAAAAUGGAAUUAGCCAUAUUUUCUGAUGCCCUCACACUCAUGAGAAGGUAACAAUUUCUUAAAGAAAUCAUAGGCAUAUUGUAGACAUGGGCUUAGGAUUGAUGAAAAAAACAUCAUUACCUCUAAACCUAUGGCCAUAUAAAUUUCAUUACCUCUAAACCUAUGGCCAUCAUCCCCAUAUGAUUUGGGGAAAUAAGUUUAAAAUGACCUAAUUUAACAUAAUUUGGAAAAACAUUUAAAAGGACUAAAAUGACUUAACUUAGUUUAUACUUUUGGGGAUAUUACAAUUUAACUGAAACCUCUUAAAAAUCAAUAUUUAAAUGAAAAAGGUAUUAAAAUAAGUAUUCAAAAAAUUUAUACAAAAAUAACUAACUCUAAAACAUUUCUAAAUAAUAUAAAAUCUAGCAUAAUAUAACACUAUAAAACUAUAAAAUUAAACACGAUGUGAAUCAUAUGAUAGUCGAUAGAAACUAAGAGUUUAUAAAUCGCAAGCAUUCAUUUAUUUUGAAAUCGCAAACUCGAAUUAAACCUAGAGUUUAUUGAAAUCGCAGUCAUUCAUUCAUUCAUUUAAUGAAUCCAAACCAUUUAUUAUUUCCAUUAUCAAAACCAACUUCUUAAAUCUUUAUUUUAUUGAUUGGAAAUGGUUAAUAUAACAUUUUAUGUUCUGGUAAAGAUGAAAAAUAUGGUUGUAAUUGUAAGUGAUUUAUAAUUUUAUACAUACACUGCAUGCAUCGGCAGAACUUUUGAAAAUAUUUGCACAACUUUUGCAAAUAUUGGGAGAGAUGCUGGAAUAUUGCUGGGCUGGACAAAACUACAAUAACUUGCUGGCAAAUACUGUGGAUGUAGAAGGGAAGAAGACAAGUUCUUUGAUAGUUUUGAAAACUUUGUUUUAAUUUAAUUUUUAUUAACUUCACUGAAAAUAUCAUUCACCCAAUCAUAAUUCAGCUAUUCAGAGGCGAAAAAUCUGGCGAGAAGGAGAGUUGAGAAAAAUCCGGCGAGAAGGAUUUGGGGAAAUUUGGGAAAAAUUUGGGGUAAAUGGAGGGUUUAGGUUUAGGGGAAGUAUUUGGGGAAAUUUGGGAAUUUAAUUGGGUAAUUUAAUAAAUUGGUCCUAAUUUAAUAAAUUGGUCCUAAUUUAAUAAAUUGGGUUUUGGGGGUUUUGGGGGGAAAUCGAUUUGGGAGGGGGGAAAUAACAUUACUUUUGGGAAGAGAUAAGUUGGAUAAAUGGAACGAAUGAGAUGUUAUAUCUCAUUAUCCAAGAUGUCUCAUAUGAAUCAUUCUCAUGAGAUAUAAUACUCCAUAACCAGAAAUGAUUGAAAGGGAUAAAUGAGAUAUUGAUAGUUGAGAAUUUAUCUCACAUAUGAAUCUCAUGUGAGCGGACCAAGAAGUAACAAAUUGUGUUUGCAAAUUUGCAAUUAUAAUAACACCUUUUGUUUUGUUUUUGUGAUUUCUUUCCCUGCAGAAUAUGCAUAUACAAUGAAGGUAACAGAGAAAAGUGAUAUCUAUAGCUACGGAGUUGUUUUGCUAGAACUGGUGAUAGGGAGAAAAUCUGUACAACAAUUAGAAGGAAGUGAAUGUGAUGGUGAUCUUGUGAGUUGGGUAAGAGAUUGUGUUAGAAAUAAUGACUUGAGUUAUGAGAUACUUGACAGUAGAGUAAAUUUAGAUAAUAAGAACACGGCCAGAGGAAAGUCUACGGAAAAGCAUUUAAAAUUAAAAGGUAAAUAAAACUCACCAGAGGAAAGUCGCUUCUGUCACCGGAGGAACUCCUCGCCACGUCGCCGGAGGUUGGAUUGGAAAAUCGCCGGAGAGUGUAAGGAGGGAAGAAAAGAUGAUGUAGGAUUUGGGGUUUUUUU